rnacentral:rRNA from 1 species
UACGUAGGGUGCAAGCGUUGUCCGGAAUUAUUGGGCGUAAAGAGCUCGUAGGCGGUCUGUUGCGUCGGCUGUGAAAACCCGGGGCUCAACUCCGGGCCUGCAGCCGAUACGGGCAGACUAGAGUUCGGCAGGGGAGACUGGAAUUCCUGGUGUAGCGGUGAAAUGCGCAGAUAUCAGGAGGAACACCGGUGGUGAAGGCGGAUCUCUGGGCCGUAACUGACGCUGAGGAGCGAAAGCAUGGGUAGCGAACAGG